rnacentral:rRNA from 1 species
UACGAAGGGGGCUAGCGUUGCUCGGAAUCACUGGGCGUAAAGCGCACGUAGGCGGAUUGUUAAGUCAGGGGUGAAAUCCUGGAGCUCAACUCCAGAACUGCCUUUGAUACUGGCGAUCUUGAGUCCGGGAGAGGUGAGUGGAACUGCGAGUGUAGAGGUGAAAUUCGUAGAUAUUCGCAAGAACACCAGUGGCGAAGGCGGCUCACUGGCCCGGUACUGACACUGAGACGCGAAAGCGUGGGGAGCGAACAGG